AAUUUCUUAAUUUAGUGAAGCAUGACCGUCUGCGUGUAUGCCUUUGUAUGUGUCCAGUUUUGGGGUCAGUUCGAUGCUGGCCAUUCCAUUGAUUAAAUGUCACUCUGGCCGAGUUGUGUUCCCAAGUCGCUAAUAAAAGUUUAAUUUCGGCUUAAAUUAAAGUGGCUUUGUGAACAGAGAGUGAUUGGAAUUUAUUUUCGAUAAGAUUACUAAACGUUUGAAUGUUUUAAAGUCUUUUAAUUCAAUUCGAUAUAAGUAGAUUAAUUUAAGCCACAAUCCCUCUAUCAUAACCAAUUAAUUUCUUCUGUUCUUUGCUUUUCUUAAAUCACUUUCGUUAUCUUCACUUUUACCUUUUGGCAGAAUCAAAAUUGCAGGGAAAAAUUUUUUAAUUAAAAUUCACAGACGUCGGCACGCCCACUUGCACACCCUCACAUUUCGACAGAGGGCCAUAAUCCCCAUCCCGCCACAUCCUCCGUCUUUCGGCCACAUUCCCAUCUCCAUCACCUGGCUCACAUAUGCUCUUUCUGUGUUUACCUGGAACGUGAGCCAAUUAUCGGGAUUGAGAGUGGAAAGCGUAGCAUGCAACGUCAUCAUUGUGAUCAAGAUCUUAUAUAAACAGGAAACGCAACUCGGCUGCAAUUUCCAUUUAUAAGCCGGCUAAGCCGCUUAUCUCCGGCAUUGGCAUUGGCAUCCCAACCCCGAAAAACUCCCAGACUCAGAAGUCUACGGACAAAUUGUCUGCCCAUGAAUGCCAUGAUUCCGGGGCGAUGACAAUGCCAACGAAAAUGUCAAAGUCAAAACUUGCCAGACAACAGGCUAGUUAAGUAAAAAGGUAAAGGUACUGGAAAUCCCUGAUUGGGUUUCCCCCGUUGAAAGGCAGUUUUUUUCUCAAGGUAUUACGUCUUCGAGUUGGAAGAAUAAUUCUUAAAGUCGGCGACAUAUCUAUCAAUCGUGCUGUCACUAAGAGAUAUGUAUAUCUAUUAAUUUAUAUUCAUUCGCAUUUAACUGAUGAAUAAAAAGUAAAUUUUAAUUCUGAUGAAUAAAAAAUAAA